UCAUUCACCACCCCAACUCGCAACCCGCGUGAGCGAGCGUGACCCCUUUAUGCCUCGCUAGCUCCCUCCCGUCUUCUGUUUCGUGUGCCGUUGAAGAGUUGAGAGUGAGAGAGAUGGGGCGCGGCGGCGGCGGCGGCGAGGGGUCGGAGGUGGCGGUGGAGGCGAGGGAGAGGGACCGCGCGCGGGAGUGGGAGGAGGUGGCGGAUGCGGUGGCUUACGACUCCUGCACCUGGCCGCCGCCGGUGGUGGCGGUGUGCGGCCCAGGCAACAGCGGCAAGUCCGCCUUCUCCCGCCUCCUCCUCAACACCCUCGUCGGGAGGUAUAAGAAGGUGGCCUACCUGGAUACUGAUGUUGGUCAACCUGAGUUCACACCUCCUGGAUUUGUCUCGCUUCAUGUACUCGAGGAACAGGCUGAAGAUUUUAAAAUGCUGUACCUACGGACCCCAAAGAGGUGCUUCUUUUUCGGUGAUGUCUGUGCAAAGAAGAAUCCAAAACUUCUCUUGAACUACAUAUUUAGCCUUUAUGAUUAUUUCCUCAAAGAAAUCUAUCGGUUUGAUGACAUCGAUAACCCUCAAAAAUCUGCAAUACCACUUGUUAUUAACACUUCAGGAUGGGUGAAAGGUACUGGCCUACAUAUGCUGAAGGAAUUAUUGAAAUAUGCAUCUCCUACUCAUGUUAUUCAGCUAAGAACCUCAGCAAAGGGCAAAAAUUUACCUACUGGAAUGUUUUGGUUAGAUGAACCUGAAGGGGACUCGGUCGUUAAUUUAGUUGAAAUUCAUGCUGCACAAGAUGUACCUCGUCAUCUGUUAGUAAAGAAAGAGGCAAGGGUCAUUCGUGAUCUAAGACUGAUCGCAUACUUCAGGCAGUGCUUACCAAUGGACUUUCCUGUUUUCUCUUACAAUGAUUUAAUUCAAGGCUUUGCUUCUAUAGAACCCUUUCAGCUUCCUAUGUCAAAAAUUCAAGUUAUUGAUCUGCACAACCAGGUGCCUGAUAAUACAGAACAUCACUUCUUGAAAGGUACUAUUGUUGGCUUUGCAACAAGUGCAUCUGUCCCUUUGUCAAAUCGGUGUUCCAUACCAUGUUGCGUUGGACUAGGUUUCAUCAAAGAUGUAGCACGCGACUCUAUUCAUUUGAUCACUCCUGUUUAUCAUCAGCUUUUGGAAAGUGUCGAUAUCAUUUUUCGAAGUUGUUUUACAGUCCCUACAUGUCUCUUACAGGUGGUAUCUGACAGUGUAAGUGACAUAACGGAUGGGCUAUGAGAGCUCUAGAGCAGUGGAGAUGUUCAAUAGAAAUACUAGUAUAUUCUUCAGUUGGUCCUAUUCAAACUAGACGUCAAUAUGGGAUCUUGGAGACCAACACAAUGCUGAAUAAAUGGCUGUCGUGAUGAAUCCUGUUGAGGGCUAACACAUUUAUCUGCAUCACUAGCAAUAUUGACAAACAGUGGUGGCGGACGUGCAAGCAGAGUGGGCAAAGAGGUAGCACCAUCGCUGGAGUUAGAUCAGUCUCAAUACAUAGUUUUAUGGUAUAGUUAUCAAGACUGUAAACUAGAUAACCGAGUCAAAUAAGUUUCAUGGGGAUGAAACUCCUCUCUCAUAUCAUGAAACUCCCUCAUUUAAUGAUCCUGUCAAGUCAUCAAUUUUGCUGAUGUGACACCCUAUUUAAUGUGUAUGACACUCCCAUAAAACAUGCAUUGAGACUGGCCUUAGUGAAGAAGAGACAA